rnacentral:rRNA from 1 species
GAUGAACGCUAGCGGCAGGCUUAAUACAUGCAAGUCGUGGGGCAGCAGGUUUGUAGCAAUACAGAUGCUGGCGACCGGCAAACGGGUGCGGAACACGUACAGAACCUUCCUUUGAGCGGGGAAUAGCCCAGAGAAAUUUGGAUUAAUACCCCAUAGUAUAAUGAAGUGGCAUCACUUUAUUAUUAAAGAUUUAUCACUCGAAGAUGGCUGUGCGGCUGAUUAGGUAGUUGGCGGGGUAAAGGCCCACCAAGCCUGCGAUCAGUAACUGGUGUGAGAGCACGACCAGUCACACGGGCACUGAGACACGGGCCCGACUCCUACGGGAGGCAGCAGUAAGGAAUAUUGGUCAAUGGAGGCAACUCUGAACCAGCCAUGCCGCGUGGAGGAUGAAGGUCCUCGGGUUGUAAAGCUCUUUUGUCCGGAAAGAAAAGCAUUCGGUUAAUACCCGGGUGUUCUGACGGUACCGGAAGAAUAAGCACCGGCUAACUUCGUGCCAGCAG